rnacentral:lncRNA from 1 species
UACGCAAUAGGCCUGUAUAAUGAAGGGUUAGGAGCAGGAGGCAGAGCAUACAUGGGUGAGGAUAACUUUUAUGGUUGCUGGAAAUGGACAGCCUUGACAGCCCGACAAUGCUGCAAAAUUAUAAACCACACAGACAAACAGUAUUUGCCAAUAUCAUAACUGGAGCUGGACAACUUUCGCGCUGAAGAUUGAGGCCAGCUUUUGUAUGCUAGCGCACACUCCUUAACAGUUUUACUGGAUGAAAACACAGCAAGAAAACACAUUGGCCAAUAUGUAAAAGGCGUCUAUUUUAUUGCAAUAUUGGUGGUGGUUGGUUGAACAAACAUAGGUUUUGUGCUCCAGUAUUCUCUUAGGGAGUUCUUCUUUACUAUUCCCAUGAGGACUGUCACCAGAAAGCUCCAAGGCAUAGCGAUUGGUCUCCUCUACUAUGUCUCCCACCAGCUCCUCUGUCAGAAACAACUUGAAGCACUCUGCCUCAGAUGGAAAUGGCAAGAGGCUUUGCACUCCAGACUGGGACUCAUCAAAGCAAACAGCAGGGCCAGGAGGGGUGAAAUGGCUGGCGGCCUUCCAGCUACCACAGAACUCCUGUACUUCAUCCACUGUCGGUCUGCCUCCAUCACCACCAGCAUCCUCAAAGGGACCUGGGACCUCAUCAGUGGACAAGGUGUCCUCAGAUUCAGGGUUCUCAAUGGCUACAAGGUUAGGGGGCAGCUCCUCACUGUCACUAUCACUGUCAGAAUCUGAUUCUUGACUUUCAUACUAAGACUCAUUGUCAGAAUUUAAAAUAUUCUCCAGAAUUUCCACAUUUAUGAGUUGUCUCCUUUUGAAAGACAUUGCUAAUGCUACAGCUUAGCUCACUAGCUACAUACAUAAACUACAACACUGAAUGGCUCAGAGUGGGAGUGAGAGUUUACGUGAUUGACUGCCG